rnacentral:tRNA from 2 species
GCGGGUGUAGUUCAAUGGUAGAACACCAGCCUUCCAAGCUGGCAGCGUGGGUUCGAUUCCCAUCACCCGCU